ACGGCCACCGUCAACAUCAACCUCUCGCCUUUGGACAAGAACGUCAUGUCCGUGCCAGCGGCGGUGUUCAUGGUGUUCGACGGUCGGAUCCCCGAACCUGCCGCGACCAUAGAGAGGGCUCUGUCCCAAGCUCUAGCCCACUACUCCCCAGUCUCAGGCCGCCUCGCUGCCGGAGCCGAGCAGGGCGAGUUCCACAUCAGGUGCACCGGCGAGGGCGUCCCGUUCGUGGCCGCGGCCGCGGACUGCGCUCUCAAGGACGCCGAGUUCUUCGGCCGGUCGGUGGCCGGCGCGCUGCUGGAGGAGCUGGCCAUCUACUACCCGGCCGAGCACUGCGGUUUCGGUGACCCUCUGCUCAUGAUGCAGGUCACCGAGUUCUCCUGCGGCGGCUUCGUCGUCGGGGUAACGUGGAACCACGUCGUCGCCGACGCGGCCGGGAUCGGCCAGUUCCUGCAGGCCGUCGGCGAGCUCGCGCGCGGGCUGCCGUCGCCGUCCGUGGCCCCGGUGAGGUGGGACGACGCGCUGACGGCGGUGCCUCCGCCCGCCGACGGCUUCGUGGAGCUGAUGAUGACGCUCCAGCCGGCCGACAUGGCCGCGCUCGACGUCACCGUGCCAUGGGGCCUAAUCGACCGCAUCAAGGAGAGCUCCAACGCCAGCGGAUCAUCAAGGUCAAGGCCGCCGUGCACGACGUUCGAGGCGGUGACCGCGCUGCUGUGGCAGUGCCGCACCCGCGCGGUGGGGCUGUCGUCCAGCCCGGAGGAGCCCGUGGCGCUCUACUUCGCGGUGAACGCGCGCGUCUUUGUUUUUCGAUUCCAUCCACGGAAUUAA
rnacentral:rRNA from 1 species